rnacentral:rRNA from 1 species
ACAACCGGCCCGGCGGUGGCAGGAAAGAACGGUUUCGGGAUCGUAAAACUCGUCUUUCUGGUAGGGAAGAAGAACGGACGGUACCACAGGAAGAAGCCCCGGCUAACUACGUGC